rnacentral:sRNA from 1 species
UACUUCGAUCGAGUGUAAGCGCAGAGUA